CAGUCGCCGCGGGAACACGGAGGGGGCUAGCGUUGUUCGGAAUUACUGGGCGUAAAGCGCACGUAGGCGGCUUUGUAAGUUAGAGGUGAAAGCCCGGAGCUCAACUCCGGAAUUGCCUUUAAGACUGCAGAGCUAGCAGGUGAGAGAGGUGAGUGGAAUUCCGAGUGUAGAGGUGAAAUUCGUAGAUGUUCGGAAGAACACCAGUGGCGAAGGCGGCUCACUGGCUCAUACUGGACGCUGAGGUGCGAAAGCGAGGGGAGCAAACAGGAUUAGAUACCCCCGUAGUCCCUGUCUCUUAUAC
rnacentral:rRNA from 1 species